rnacentral:lncRNA from 1 species
UCUCUAACACACAAGUCUCGAUUGGACUCUAACCCCCUUAGAGAUAAAAUAAAAAUCCUAACUAACUCUAAUUAAUUGAUAAAUUUGCACCGCCAAGCCCUGGGUCUUCACGAUUCCUUCUCGAAUUCGGCUUCUUGUGGAUAAGAUUUUCUAUCGACGAUUGCAUCUUUUGUGAGGGUGCACCUGAAAUAAACAGAAAUCCCACAGGCCACAACUGCCCAGGAUACAGUUACGCACAGAAAAGAUAUAAAAGCAUAAGCUCAGCGAAGUACACUUACUUAGCAGCGGAAAUAUGGCAUGUCGGCUUAGCUUUUCGCAAAGACCAACCAGAC